GUAGAUCGAAAAAUUUUAAGUUGAGUGAAAGUGCUCACUGAUGGUGGAAAUAAAGAAGGUAGAGCCUUGCGCCUAGAACAAGGUGCAAGCCUAUGGGCAUAAGGCAAGAGGCCUUUCUCCUCUAUAGGUGCUAGUGUUGGAGCCAGCCUUGAGCAUGAGGUGCGCCUUUAAUAAAUACGAGCAAAAUAAUAUAUGCAUUAUCCAUAUAACAAUUAAGGAUAAUGACUGAUGGAGUUUCAUUCGUGGAAGAUAUGGUGCCCAUUUACCUAGGGUGAGGAUGUAAUUUAAAUUUUGAAAAGCACCCACUCCAUGUUCUAGGCCUGUGAUUUUCAGUUUCAGUUAUGUAGCCCAAAAAAAACAAAGAAAAAAGAAACAGAGAGAAGAUGCAAAGAAACUUAACAUACUGCAUCAAAUUUAUUUUUAAAACUCGAAUUGCCUCUUUGACACUGAUUACACUUAUCCUAAUUUCCAACCAACAAAUGCUUCCAACUAUGCAUCUACAUAAAUGAAACUUGCCACGGAUUAACUCGCCAGUAUUACCCUAAAUUCAUUAUACUUUUAAACGAAGAUACAAGCAUAGGGAUGCCAGACAUGAAUAAAUACAUGAAAAUGCCUACUAAUAACCAGAAAUACUAAUUAGUGUUCAACAAAAUCCUAGGCGCAAAAAAAUGCAGAAAUGGCGUUAG
rnacentral:misc_RNA from 1 species